AGUGAACGCUGGCGGUAGGCCUAACACAUGCAAGUCGAACGGCAGCACAGUAAGAGCUUGCUCUUACGGGUGGCGAGUGGCGGACGGGUGAGGAAUACAUCGGAAUCUACUUUUUCGUGGGGGAUAACGUAGGGAAACUUACGCUAAUACCGCAUACGACCUACGGGUGAAAGCAGGGGAUCUUCGGACUUUGCGCGAUUGAAUGAGCCGAUGUCGGAUUAGCUGGUUGGCGGGUUAAAGGCCCACCAAGGCGACGAUCCGUAGCUGGUCUGAGAGGAUGAUCAGCCACACUGGAACUGAGACACGGUCCAGACUCCUACGGGAGGCAGCAGUGGGGAAUAUUGGACAAUGGGCGCAAGCCUGAUCCAGCCAUACCGCGUGGGUGAAGAAGGCCUUCGGGUUGUAAAGCCCUUUUGUUGGGAAAGAAAAGCAGCAGGUUAAUACCCCGCUGUUCUGACGGUACCCAAAGAAUAAGCACCGGCUAACUUCGUGC
rnacentral:rRNA from 1 species